rnacentral:hammerhead_ribozyme from 1 species
AUCCAUCUGACGAGUCCCAAAUAGAACGAAAUGCGCAUCCUGGAU